rnacentral:lncRNA from 1 species
AGCUGAUGCCAUUCACUGUGAUCACUGAUCACGCGAGCUUGCAGUGGCUGAUGCGUUUCAAAGCGCUGGAUGGUAGGCUGGCGAGAUGGUCCCUAGCUCUGCAGGCAUACAACUUCCAGAUAGAGCAUCGAAAGGGAAAGGACAACAUCGUCGCAGACAUGCUGUCGCGUCCGUUUGAUCUAGAAGCAAUCGACUUCCUAGAGUUUGAGACUACAGCCUUCGAGGACGAGGACUACCUGAAAAGGAUAGAGAUGGUUAAGAUCGAUGAAGAAAUGUUUCCAGACCUGAAGGUGGAGGAUGGAUUGCUAUUUAGGCGUACACAAUUUGCCCGACCGGAAUUCGAGGAGUUCCAGUGGAAACUAUGGAUCCCUGAGGCGCUGACAAGAUCGUUGAUCCAGCAAGCACACGACAGUGAUGAGGCAAUGCACGGAGGUGUUGCGAGAACAUUGGGGCGACUGCGGCAAUGGUACUAUUGGCCCCGUAUGACGGUACAGGUGAAUGCAUAUGUCGCGGAUUGCGAUACCUGCAAGGAGACGAAACACUCGACACAAGUUAAACGUCCGAAAAUGGGUGCCGAGACCGUAACCGAAAGGCCGAUGCAGAAGAUAUACCUCGACUUUCUGGGUCCAUAUCCUAGAACCCGAAGGGGGAACGCAGUCAUCUUGAUAGUCCUUGAUCACAUGUCUCGGUUUGUUUGGCUGAAGGCCUUACCCAAAGCCACAUCGGCGGCCGUAAUUCAAUUCCUGCAUGAAGAGGUCUUCGCACAGUUUGGCGUUCCUGAAAUGGUACACACAGACAACGGAAAGCAGUUUGUAUCAGCCGAGUUUACACACUUCUUUACCAAAAGAAGUAUAACUCACAUGAAAUCUGGGAACUAUGCACCACAGGCGAACGCGGCGGAACGCGUGAAGAAGUUGCCGGAGAUCCAGAGUGCGGCCAGGAGUGCGAUACAUACAGCUAUCGGCACGUCACCAUACUUCGUGCUGUUCGGGCAGCACAUGUUCACCAGCGGGCGGGACUACAAAUUAGCACGGAGACUGGGAGCCCUGAUCGACGCGCAAGUAUCACCUGUGGCCAGGCAAGACCAGCAGGAGAUCAUCCGCGAUGAGGUCCGGAAGAAUGCGCAUUAGGCCUACAAGAGAUCAAAAAAUCAGUAUGAUCGAAAAGCGAGAGAUAUCCGGUACUUACCAGGGCAGGAAGUGUAUAAGCGGAACUUCGUAUUAAGCAAUUUCAAAAACAACAUCAAUGCCAAGUUUACUCGGAAGUAUGGAAAGUGCAGAGUGGUCCGGAGCUUGGGAAACAGCUUAUAUGAACUGGAAACGCUGCAGGGGGCACGGAUAG